GAGAACUUGCCCCAGACCAUGAGCCUCCCGGCUGAGAAAACAAGUUAACUCACAGUUUUUCAGCAUCUCAGGGAGCCUGCAGCAGUGAUCCAGUUCCUUCAAACUGUCUGUGGAUUCUCUCGGCUUUCCUGGUAUGUGCCUGAGAAAGCAAGUUGACUCAGUUUUUCAGCAUCUCAGGGAGCCUGAAGCAGUGAUCCAGUUGCUUCAAACGUCUGUGGAUUCCCUCGGCUUUCCUGAAAUAGUGAUGCUGUGACACUUCUAAGGCUAGGAUUUAAGAAGCCUUGCAGAGUCCACCAGGGUCCCUUGGAACACAAAUUGUGGGAGAAGCAAUCCCUGAAGAAAGCCAGCCAUUAUGGAAGAAAUCCAACGACCCUGAGACCACUAUGCUGUAAGGAAGACCAAGCCAGCAAAGAAGAAGAAACCAUGUCCGGGUGCGGUGGCUCACGCCUGUAAUCCCAGCACUUUGGGAGGCCGAGGUGGGCGGAUCACUAGGUCAAGAGAAAGAGACCAUCCUGGCCAACAUGGUGAAACCCCAUCUCUACUAAAAAUACAAAAAUUAGCUGGGCGUGGUGGCACGUGCCUGUAGUCCCAGCUACUCGGGAGGCUGAGGCAGGAGAACCGCUUUGAACCUGGGGGGCGGAGGUUGUAGUGAGCCAAGAUUGCACCACUGCACUCCAGCCUGGCAACAGAGUGAAAAAAAAAAAAAAAAAAAAAAAAAGAAGAAGAAACCAUAUGGAGACAGAGAUGCCCCACCAGUACCCAAAUGUCUCAGACAUCACAGGCAUCAGACACAUUAGUAAAGAAGCUGUAAGCCAACCCCAGUUAUUUGACUGGAAUCAUAUGAGGAACCCUAAGUAAGAACUACAUCUCUGAGCUCAUCAAGGCCACAGAAUGGUGAGAGGUAAUCAUAAAUGGUUGUUUUAAGCCACAAAGUUCAGGAGUAGAUGGUUAUAUGGAAU
rnacentral:lncRNA from 10 species